rnacentral:rRNA from 1 species
AACGAACGCUGGCGGCAUGCCUAACACAUGCAAGUCGAACAAGACCUUCGGGUCUAGUGGCGCACGGGUGCGUAACACGUGGGAAUUUGCCUCGGGGUAUGGAAUAACUCAGGGAAACUUGAGCUAAUACCAUAUAAUGUCUUCGGACCAAAGAUUUAUCGCCCUGAGAUAAGCCCGCGUAGGAUUAGCUAGUUGGUGGGGUAAAGGCUCACCAAGGCGACGAUCCUUAGCUGGUCUGAGAGGAUGAUCAGCCACACUGGGACUGAGACACGGCCCAGACUCCUACGGGAGGCAGCAGUGGGGAAUAUUGGACAAUGGGCGAAAGCCUGAUCCAGCAAUGCCGCGUGAGUGAUGAA